CUCUGAUAACGGCUUCCCUCUCUAAUUAAGCUGCAGUAAAGCUCCUCUCCAGCUGCCUGCAGUGGAAACAGCUCGUCCAAAAAGUGCUGUGCCUGGCGCUUUCACAGCGCUCCUGAAAUAUUAAGACGCCAGUCGUCAAAGUGCCCAAACCCAGGUCUAUUGAAACCAGCCUUUCAGUCAGUCGGUCAGCCAGCCCUCCAGAUGCCCAUCUCUCAGCCGGCCUUCCAGACAUCGGCAAGCCAGCUGGCACUCCAGACGUUCUUAAGUCUGUCAACCAUCCAGGCGAUUUCUAGCCAGCUAAUCCUCCUGUUGAUAUCAAGCCAACUGAUCUGCCUGGGGUUAGAUUUGUCUGCUCGGAUGUGGUGGUCUUCGGCUCCACCUUGGAGGUCAUCAUACCACAUUUGCCCUGUAUCUCCUGUGGUUUCGCUCGUUCCGUCCAGCCAUAAAUCUCCUGCAUCUCCUGAGUUCCCGCCCAGCCUCUUCCACCUCCUCUCCUAAAAUCAGCCAGUCCUUCAGCCCUGCCUUCGCUGGUUUCUUUCAGGCCCUCAGCUCACCCUCAGUCAGUGCCAUCUGGGUCCCUGCCUCCACUUCAUUCACACGAGCCGUCAACUCUGCCUUGGCCCUCCAGAGCCACGGUGUCACCCUGGCUCUUAAGUUCUCCAUCUCCGCCCUGGGCUCCUCCUCCAUCGGCUCCAUCUCCAUCAGUUGGCCCCCUGGUGUCAUCAGCCUUACUGUACCUCCACCAUGGCUCCUCCCUCCAUCAACUCCGCCGUGGGCCUCCUUCCUGCCUAGACUAUGGUCCACAUCUGGCUCCUCCUGCUCCUGGCUCCUCCCUCCAUCAGCUCCUCCCUGGUCUCACCAUCCAUCAUCUCCUCUGGUGUCCUGGCCUCUGCAAACUCUAUGUCCUUCUCCAGAGCUGCUUCCUUCCUCCUCAGAUAUUCUCUUUACGGUGCGAGAUCGCGCCUUCCGGGAGGGGGAGCUACUGUUACGGUUAUGGACUUGUUGUUUUUUUCUGUUCCUGUUGUCUUGCCCUGUUUAGUUCCUGUCUCCCUAGUUUCUGUUUUUGUCAUUAGUUGCCUUGGUUACCUAUUCGUUUCAGGUGUUUCUUGUUAAUUUACCCAUUAUAUAUCGUCCCUGUUUUGUUCAGUUCUCUGCCGGUUAUUUUAAUUGCUGUUUGUUGAGUUGAUGGACUGUGUGCUACCUUUGCUCCAGUGAGUUACCUGUGUUGAUUCUUUGUGAAUUUCUACAAAGAAUCUUUGGAUCUUCUUCUUUGUGUGCUUGAUCUUUAUCAAGUGUGAGUUACAGUUUUUAUAAUAGCUUUGGUACUAUUUUCAUCAUUUCAUUUCAAUCAAGCAGUGCAUUUUCUAAAAUCUCUGCUAAUCUCACAACAGAUCACCAAAAAAUGCACCCUCUUUAAACAUUUCAGCGUAUUUUCAAUUAUGUUAGUACAGUACUCAAAAUCACAAAGCAUAUUUUUUUUAAUGUGCAUGAUGAGUUUAACCUAUAUUUCAAUUGUAAGGACCCAUUUCUAAAUAUUUAAGUCUCAUUUUCAAACUCUUCUGAGCACAACAGCAAUCUAUGUCAGCUAAACUGUGGCUCAUUUUCCAUGCAAAACUGAAUAAGACACCAAUUUGCAACAUGUUCAUAGUAAUGUCAUAUUCAAAUAUAUUCCAUAUUCAAACUUUGCUAGUGUUAUGAAAGAUUUAUGAAAGAUUAUGAAAGAUGAUUUGAGAUAUGUACAACUAGGUUUUGGUAGUUUUAAUGCAUUUUGGAUGUGAAAUGUACUGCUGUGCUAAGCUGAAGGUUGGUAAGGAGAACUGUGUGAAGAGUUUAAAACAAAAUAUAUUUGACUAAUGAAAACAUGAGCCCAGAUUUUUAAAGAAUGACUAGCGGUGUUAUGAGAGUAAUCAGUUUGGAAUUUUGUACUUGAAGUGUUUUGAACAUGUACCACUUGUGAAUAUAGU
rnacentral:lncRNA from 1 species